GUGGGUGUCGUCAAGCGGCCUAAGACCCUGGGUUGUGGCUCCAGUAUACGUGAGUUCGAAUCUCACCACCCACCCCA
rnacentral:tRNA from 1 species